rnacentral:rRNA from 1 species
CGCGUAGGCGGUGUACUAAGUCAGGCGUGAAAGCCCUGGGCUCAACCCGGGAAUUGCGCUUGAUACUGGUACGCUCGAAUCCAGGAGAGGUUGGUGGAAUUCCCAGUGUAGAGGUGAAAUUCGUAGAGAUUGGGAAGAACACCGGUGGCGAAGGCGGCCAACUGGACUGGUAUUGACGCUGAGGCGCGAAAGCGUGGGGAGCAAACAGGAUUAGAUACCCUGGUAGUCCACGCCGUAAACUAUGUGUGCUAGCCGUUGGGGCUCUUAGAGCCUCGGUGGCGUCGCUAACGCUUUAAGCACACCGCCUGGGGAGUACGGUCGCAAGAUUAAA